rnacentral:tRNA from 1 species
GAAGGAGCACGUCUUCUAUUCUUAGUCUUAGGGGUUGCUUAAUGAUAUGAUUGGGUAUUAUUCGUUCGUUCUCUAGAAAAUAGGAAAUCUUUCUAUCUAUCUAACUUAUCGAAUUUCUACUUAAAAAAGUUUUUUUUUUCUUUUAAAGAAAUAUUUUAGAAAAAAGAAAGAAGAUUCUAAAAAGGUCAAAAAUCUGAAUAAGAAUGAAUGAAAAAUGAAUCUAAAUUACAGGGGUGGA